CGACGAAUCUUCCGCAAUGGACGAAAGUCUGACGGAGCGACGCCGCGUGCGGGAUGAAGCGGCUUUGCCGUGUAAACCGCUGUCAGGGAAUAGAAACACUGAUCAUUUCCAAAGGAAGGGGCGACUAACUCUGUGCCAGCAGUCGCGGUAAGACAGAGGCCCCGAGCGUUAGUCGGAAUCACUGGGCUUAAAGGGUGCGUAGGCGGACUUCUAAGUGUCGUGUGAAAGCCCAUGGCUUAACCAUGGAACCGCACGGCAAACUGGGAGUCUUGAGGAACGUAGAGGCGGGUGGAACGCUAGGUGGAGCGGUGGAAUGCGUAGAUAUCUAGCGGAACGCCGAAGGUGAAGACAGCCCGCUGGGCGUUUCCUGACGCUGAGGCACGAAAGCGUGGGGAGCAAA
rnacentral:rRNA from 1 species